rnacentral:rRNA from 1 species
AUGAACGCUAGCGACAGGCUUAACACAUGCAAGUCGAGGGGCAGCACAGGUAGCAAUACCGGGUGGCGACCGGCGCACGGGUGAGUAACGCGUAUGCAACUUACCUAUCAGAGGGGGAUAACCCGGCGAAAGUCGGACUAAUACCGCAUGAAGCAGGGGCCCCGCAUGGGGAUAUUUGCUAAAGAUUUAUCGCUGAUAGAUAGGCAUGCGUUCCAUUAGGCAGUUGGCGGGGUAACGGCCCACCAAACCGACGAUGGAUAGGGGUUCUGAGAGGAAGGUCCCCCACAUUGGUACUGAGACACGGACCAAACUCCUACGGGAGGCAGCAGUGAGGAAUAUUGGUCAAUGGGCGCGAGCCUGAACCAGCCAAGUCGCGUGAGGGAUGAAGGUUCUAUGGAUCGUAAACCUCUUUUAUAAGGGAAUAAAGUGCGGGACGUGUCCCGUUUUGUAUGUACCUUAUGAAUAAGGAUCGGCUAACUCCGUGCCGGCAGCCGCGGUAAUACGGAGGAUCCGAGCGUUAUCCGGAUUUAUUGGGUUUAAAGGGUGCGUAGGCGGCCUUUUAAGUCAGCGGUGAAAGUCUGUGGCUCAACCAUAGAAUUGCCGUUGAAACUGGGGGGCUUGAGUAUGUUUGAGGCAGGCGGAAUGCGUGGUGUAGCGGUGAAAUGCUUAGAUAUCACGCAGAACCCCGAUUGCGAAGGCAGCCUGCCAAGCCAUGACUGACGCUGAUGCACGAAAGCGUGGGGAUCAAACAGGAUUAGAUACCCUGGUAGUCCACGCAGUAAACGAUGAUCACUAGCUGUUUGCGAUACACUGUAAGCGGCACAGCGAAAGCGUUAAGUGAUCCACCUGGGGAGUACGCCGGCAACGGUGAAACUCAAAGGAAUUGACGGGGGCCCGCACAAGCGGAGGAACAUGUGGUUUAAUUCGAUGAUACGCGAGGAACCUUACCCGGGUUUGAACGCAUUCGGACCGAGGUGGAAACACCUUUUCUAGCAAUAGCCGUUUGCGAGGUGCUGCAUGGUUGUCGUCAGCUCGUGCCGUGAGGUGUCGGCUUAAGUGCCAUAACGAGCGCAACCCUUGCCACUAGUUACUAACAGGUAAAGCUGAGGACUCUGGUGGGACUGCCAGCGUAAGCUGCGAGGAAGGCGGGGAUGACGUCAAAUCAGCACGGCCCUUACAUCCGGGGCGACACACGUGUUACAAUGGCGUGGACAAAGGGAAGCCACCUGGCGACAGGGAGCGAAUCCCCAAACCACGUCUCAGUUCGGAUCGGAGUCUGCAACCCGACUCCGUGAAGCUGGAUUCGCUAGUAAUCGCGCAUCAGCCAUGGCGCGGUGAAUACGUUCCCGGGCCUUGUACACACCGCCCGUCAAGCCAUGGGAGCCGGGGGUACCUGAAGUCCGUAACCGCGAGGAUCGGCCUAGGGUAAAACUGGUGACUGGGGCU